rnacentral:lncRNA from 1 species
CGACGAUGACCUUCAACUGCCCUUGCCAUGUUACCAGAGUAGGUUGGGAGGAAGACAGCACUUUCCACAGACACAAUAUAGUCAAGAGCAGCCAUUUGAGAAGCAUGAUUGCGAAAUGGUUCAAGCUCUUCAACUGAAGCCAAUUUUUCCUGUAACAUUAUCAUGAUAUGAAAUAUCAACAAGUCGGCCGUAGGAUAGCCAAAAAAAUUUAAACCAACGUAGCGCCUAACAAAGAGAGACCCCAUAAAAGGGAAGCACAUUCAUGAUAAAAUCUGACAGUAAACAUUGUUACACACAAUUAUAACUUGGCCAACAAGCUUAUCAUCCUAUUUCUAAGCCUCUCCCCCCCAAAACACAUUUCUCUCUCUCUAUGUCAGCAUCAUCAUCGUCAUCGACUCCAUCCCAUAGAAACCUAAACAUCAAACUCACAAUAUAAUAUGUACAUUCCCCUUCCCCCCAGCCGAACCCAGAACCAGAAUCUUGCGCACCCCGCCUACUGCUCGAGUCCUGGCUGUACAGGGAUAUCUGUCUUCGGAAUGAAAAAUUUGAGUCCUUAAAAGUCAAUCUAUCUCAUUGCAGAAGAGGUGCUGCCUGUGUUUGAUGAUGAUUGUCUCUGACAUAAACAAUCUGGUAAAGGAUUCACAUAGAAGGAUUCCUCGGAACGAAACCUAUCCAUGCCUUUUGUUCCUGAGAUGGGACCUUUCCUCUUCCUUGGAGAUCCUUGUCUGUCCAACAAUCACAGCCAACCAAUAUCGAACACAAAUAAUGUUUCUCAGUGGUAUAACCAGUGAAAACAAGUUAGAAAGAUGAAGUUCUACAAAAAAAAUUAAAAGAGCAAUCUCAAUUUUAAAGGAAUGAGUGAACAGGCAUUCUGCCAUACCGUUUCUUGUGAAGUUCAACAACACGGCUUGAAAGAUUUCUGCCUUCUUUCAGUUUCCGUCUUUCAACUUUAUCGAAAAGACGAACAAGUGAUUUCCUGUUGCAGAAAAUCAAAUCAUUAAGGAACGACUUCAAUUCCAACAAAUUACCCAAAAAGAAAGUAAGCAAAAGCACAAGUACCUGUCAGGAGAAAUUGUUUUUCUAUGUCCCAAAUAACGACGAUGACCUUCAACUGCCCUUGCCAUGUUACCAGAGUAGGUUGGGAGGAAGACAGCACUUUCCACAGACACAAUAUAGUCAAGAGCAGCCAUUUGAGAAGCAUGAUUGCGAAAUGGUUCAAGCUCUUCAACUGAAGCCAAUUUUUCCUGUAACAUUAUCAUGAUAUGAAAUAUCAACAAGUCGGCCGUAGGAUAGCCAAAAAAAUUUAAACCAACGUAGCGCCUAACAAAGAGAGACCCCAUA